CAGCAGCCGCGGUAAAACGAAGGGUGCAAGCGUUAAUCGGAAUUACUGGGCGUAAAGCGCACGUAGGCGGAUUUUUAAGUCAGGGGUGAAAUCCCGAGGCUCAACCUCGGAACUGCCUUUGAUACUGGAGAUCUUGAGUUCGGAAGAGGUUGGUGGAACAGCUAGUGUAGAGGUGAAAUUCGUAGAUAUUAGCUAGAACACCAGUGGCGAAGGCGGCCAACUGGUCCGAUACUGACGCUGAGGUGCGAAAGCGUGGGGAGCAAACAGGAUUAGAUACCCGUGUAGUCCCUGUCUCUUAUAC
rnacentral:rRNA from 1 species